rnacentral:misc_RNA from 1 species
CUGAAAUGUUUGAUGAAACUGAAACUG